rfam:TPA: Bos taurus chromosome 25, whole genome shotgun sequence.
CCCCUGGUGGCUUAGAUAGUAAAGCAUCUGCCUGCAAUGCACGAGACCUGGGUUCGAUCCCUGGGUUGGGAA